UACGGGGGGGGCAAGCGUUGUUCGGAAUUACUGGGCGUAAAGGGCUCGUAGGCGGCCAACUAAGUCAGACGUGAAAUCCCUCGGCUUAACCGGGGAACUGCGUCUGAUACUGGAUGGCUUGAGUUUGGGAGAGGGAUGCGGAAUUCCAGGUGUAGCGGUGAAAUGCGUAGAUAUCUGGAGGAACACCGGUGGCGAAGGCGGCAUCCUGGGCCAACACUGAAGCUGAGUGAGCGAAAGCCAGGGGAGCAAACGGG
rnacentral:rRNA from 1 species